CCUUCUUUCUCAUCUCUCUCACAACUCACAUCUCACCAGAUCUUUUCAUCAACCUUCUCUCUCUGGCGACUCAAGCACAUGCCAACGAUUAGGGUUUUGGUAAGAACCGCCACCAUCAUGACUCUGGCAGCGGCUGCUUGUGGUGUUUGAUGUGUAAAUUGUUGAUUUGAACUUAACGGCGGAGGAAAUGUGAAAAUUAGGGUUCCGCUAGAACCUCAGGCGACGACGACAUAAGCAACAACAAGCAAUUGACUCCGAUGAUGAAGAAUACCAAGACAAUACGUCCACAAACAACCCCUGUCUGGUGAGAUUCGGCCUUUUAAAAUGUCUUCUCAAGGUUUUGGAGCAAUUGAGUGGCCAGUCCCCUGUUUUUUCCAAGGGGGCAGAUUUAGAUGUUAAUGGUCAUAGCACUUCAAGCAGCAGCAAGGUAUCAUAUGUGCCGCCAACGCCCCGCAGUGAAUGCGAGGGUUUGACCACGGGUGGCCUUCCAACUUUUAUUGAUAAAGGGAAUAGCUUUGGCGCCCCUGCAAUUGUGGAAGACAACCUCAUACAUCAGCUUGUUGAACAUCAUUGGAAACAAUGGGGAUGAGGCGCUGACGAACAAGGAAGAUAAUUUCGGGUAGGUUCUUUUCAGCCGGGACUUCAAGCAACAGGAAGAUAAUUUUGACUAGGUUCUUUUUAGCUGGGGCAGAAGCGAGAAGCAAUUUUAAUGCUUCGGUUGACAUCUUCUCCCCGUAUGAAGCAGUUGGACAAGGCAGCUAAAACCAGCCGUUAAAAAAUUACCUCAUGUAGCAUCAACUACUGCUGGAAAUAAUGGAGUUCCAGUGAUUGUUAACGGUUUUAAUUAGGGAAGAGCGAGUGGGAUGGCGCCAUGUGCACGAUAAAAACUUACACGUUGUACCUUCUGCAUUAAUCAUAGUACAUUUGAUUUGACUUACUGUAAUGUCAUGUUGACUCAGAAUUGCUGUUUAUAAAGCCAUAUUUCCAACUGUUGGAACCUCAACUGAUGUUCUUGCAGCCAUUGAUCAAGCAAUAAAAGAAGGAGUUGAUAUCUUAACACUCUCCAUAGGUCCAGAUGAACCAUAAAAGAUGGAGUUGAUAUGUUAAGCAUGUUCGACAUCUUGUUGGCACGCAAGGCCGGGGUUUUAAUGGUUCAAGCAGCUGGGAACUGCGGUCCAGAGCUGACAUGACUCAGCCUAUUCCAACUCAGGAGCUGGUAGCUAAGGAUCUCCAUGGCAUUGAGUGGCGCUUUAAGCAUAUAUUCAGAGGUCAAUAUGCUCUUGUAUUUUUCUGCAGAUGUUUAAAGAUAGCAAAACGGUGGAAAUUUCCUAAAAGUGCUGCAAAUGCCGAUGACUGAUAUCACUGACAAACUCAUAUCGAAGCACAUAAAGCCAUUGCCAAAUCUCACCAUCUUGGAUGUGAGCCAUUGCAUCAACAUCACAAGCGAAGGCCUUAAAACAUUCGGUUACCAAUGCAAAUUGCUUCACUUGAAAAGAAACAUGCCUGCAUUCGAAGACCAGUUGUCAGUUGCCUGAUGAUUUCGAAGCCAAAGCCAUAGCUGACACCAUGCCACAUCUGCAGGCAUAUUGUGGUAUGUUUUGGUCGGUUUGGUGAUUCGGGUGUCUCUGAAAUCCUCGCAAAAUGUAAGGCGCUCACUCAUCUUGUCAUUCAAUGGAGUUGGAAUGUAGAGUUGAACGGUGAUCUUGCAGAGAUAUGUGAACGGCUCCAGCAGUGAUGUGAAUUUCACAGAUUCAGAUUAAGAUUGAUUUCGUUGGUUUAUGUUCUUGAAUUAUGAUUUGAGUAUAUUGAUAUUAUGAUUUCAGAUAUGAGCAAUAUGGUGGUGUUGCUAAAUGCUAAUGAUGAUAUUAUUAUGCUGA